AGAUUUGAUCACAAAGGAACAGGUGCAACCUGACUAUGCCAAAUGAUAGCAAGGACCCCCGGAGGGCAAGGACCGAGCUUUAAAGAGUUUCCACUAUGUUCCACAGUCCUGGCCGCCUCAGUGAUGUUGUCCCCUGGACCCUUGGCUGGACCCGCCUGGGUCUGGGAAUCCAAGAUGGCCGUCCAGUCUCUGUUAGCUUCCAGCCAACCACCUGCAGGAAGAGGUUAUAAAAUGGGCUUGACAAACAUCAGAUCAAUCUUCCCAUCCUCCAUGUCUACUGACUGUAAGAGAUACAGAGUGAGAGGAUGUUGGAUCAAGAAAUCUGAUAUGAGCACCCUGCUAUGGAGCAUUUUCUGAUUGGGC